rnacentral:rRNA from 1 species
CCUACGGGGUGCAGCAGUGAGGAAUAUUGGUCAAUAGACGAGAGUCUGAACCAGCCAAGUAGCGUGAAGGAUGACUGCCCUAUGGGUUGUAAACUUCUUUUAUCUGGGAAUAAAAUGUUCCACGUGUGGGAUUUUGUAUGUACCAUAUGAAUAAGGAUCGGCUAACUCCGUGCCAGCAGCCGCGGUAAUACGGAGGAUCCGAGCGUUAUCCGGAUUUAUUGGGUUUAAAGGGUGCGUAGGUGGAUUGUUAAGUCAGUUGUGAAAGUUUGCGGCUCAACCGUAAAAUUGCAGUUGAAACUGGCAGUCUUGAGUACAGUAGAGGUGGGCGGAAUUCGUGGUGUAGCGGUGAAAUGCUUAGAUAUCACGAAGAACUCCGAUUGCGAAGGCAGUUCACUGGACUGCAACUGACACUGAGGCUCGAAAGUGUGGGUAUCAAACAGGAUUAGAUACCCCUGUAGUC